rnacentral:sRNA from 25 species
GUCAGGAACCCAAUCCUCUUUUAGGGGAUGGGCUUGUGUGAACAAGCUCACCUGACCAGACUCAGCUCGCAAGAGCUACGUUACGAACGAAAUAGGUACGUUGGGAUGCGUCGCCAGUUCCAACCGCUACG